rnacentral:rRNA from 1 species
GAGUAACACGUGACUAACCUACCUUUGAGUGGGGAAUAACCUCGGGAAACCGGGGCUAAUACCGCAUAACACCGAGAGGUCAAAGGAGCAAUCCGCUUGAAGAGGGGGUCGCGGCUGAUUAGCUAGUUGGUAGGGUAAUGGCCUACCAAGGCAGUGAUCAGUAUCCGGCCUGAGAGGGCGCACGGACACACUGGAACUGAAACACGGUCCAGACUCCUACGGGAGGCAGCAGUGGGGAAUUUUGCACAAUGGGGGAAACCCUGAUGCAGCAACGCCGCGUGGAGGAUGAAGCCCCUUGGGGCGUAAACUCCUUUCGAUCGGGACGAUUAUGACGGUACCGGAAGAAGAAGCACCGGCUAACUCUGUGCCAGCAGCCGCGGUAAUACAGAGGGUGCAAGCGUUGUUCGGAAUUAUUGGGCGUAAAGGGCGCGUAGGCGGUGCGGUAAGUCAGCUGUGAAAUCUCCGGGCUCAACUCGGAGCCUGCAGUUGAAACUGCUGUGCUUGAGUAU